AGAAAACGCUUCAUAUAACUUCAGAAAAUGGGUGAAAGAAGCUGCCAUGAGUGGAGCAGUGCUCCUCCAACAUGCCAUUCCACCAUGAUGUGCUGCCUCACCUUGAGCCCAGAGUGACAGACUUGGCUGACCAUGGACUAAACCUCUGGAACUAAUGUGGCUAAAAAUGACGUGAGAGUAUUUUCAUUGGGUAUACCUGAUUUCAUGGAAAAAAUACCAAAUUCGCCCAUUUUCUUGAAUAGAAGUCCAAAAACAAUUUGUGUGGUUGAUGGGCAUAUGUAACCUUUAAAGGAUGCAGCAAAAUUGAGUAUAAUACAUAAGUAUAACAUUGCAUCUAUUAUUGAUUAUGAGUGUGUGUGUGUGUGUGUGUGUGUGUGUGUGUGUGUGUAUACUCUCAGGACUGAUCGUCUACAUAUCCACCUUUCAGGAAUUAGAAAAUGAUUCCUUCUCUGUAAGAAAGGAUCAAAAAGCAAAAUGAAACAAAACAUAUUGCUGAGCAACAGAAGGCUCGUGGUCUCACACACUCUAAUCCAAAUGUCAGUGUUCAAAUUCUGACUCUGCCUUAACCUUGUGGAAUGGCUUCGAAUAGUCAUGAAAUGGCUCAAAUUUAUCCAUCUGAAAGACUGGGUUGCAACCUGGAGAUGAGCCAUUUUGCUGGAAUCACUAUUUGCAGAAACGUAUAGCUCCUUAACCGGCAGAAAAUGUUCUUGUCUCCAUCAGAAGCAGGUGUGACCCAGCUGGAAGGCAAGGGUUGCCAUGGCCACAGUGAAGCCUUCAGACACUCAGGUGCUUAAGAGUUGGCCUGCCAUAGGCAGUGGAUGCUGGAUUCUUCAGUAGCCAAGACAGAGAACUUUCUCCUGGGAAAGUGGAGUGCUCAUCAUGGUGAAGGAUAUUCACUCUUUCAUGGAUUCAAGUUUGAUUUGACAAAAGAAUCCUGGAACAUUCCAUUAUACCCUUGUGUUUUGAUGUCAAAACAACCAACAUGGAUCAAGAGCACUUAGGGUGUUUAGGUUUUUGAAUGUUACUCUCAAUUGUUUCUUCAGAAGGGAUAUUUAUCUUAGCAAUUAGAAUUGAAUUUUACAGUCAGAUUGCCAGGGUUUCAACACAAGCUGUAGUAUUUUUUUUUUUUUUCUUCAGUCUGUCUAAUUCCAAGCAGGCUGUUUUACUUCUUUGUGCAUCAUUUUCCCCUCUGUAAAGUGGAGGAUGAUAAUUGAUGAUAAUUGUACCUCCCUCAUUGAAGAGUUUCAUGAGGAUUAAAUGAGAUAAUGCAGGCGAAGUAUUUGGAAAUGUGCCUGGCACACAAGCAGUGCUGUGCAAAGGUUAGUUGAUGUUUUUGAAAUGAGGAACAAAUUGAGUGGUUCACAUUCAAAUGAUGGACUUCAUUUGGAAAAAAUGUUUAAUGCCUAAGUUUUGAAGAUUUUAAAAUACGUUGAAUCUAGCUGAAACUGCUGUGUGCAUAUGUAUGCCUGUUUUGGGUGCUGGGUUAGGGUAAAACAAUGUAAAUCCAGUCAUUGUUGGUUUACCUUGUGAUCUUAGGGAGAGGAGAGUAAUUAAAGCCACAACUAAGGAAUACAAAAUUUCUUCAAAAAUGUGUUUUACCUUUGGUAAGUUCUAAUUAUGGAGUUGGAGUUAUCUUCUAUUAUGUUCCACUCCAACAAGGGGAUAAGGAACCAUUUUGCCCCAUUUUGGGGACACAUUUUUACCCCUAUAAUGUUAUAUAAGAAGAGUUUAGUUUCUUUGACCCAGUUCCUCCUUUGGAUGGCACAGAAAGAGGAACUCAUGAUAGGCAGGCAUACUACAUGUUAUUAAGGUACUUGGUAUUGAUGCAAGAUGGCAGAGAGGAACGAGACCCUUCCCUGAAUUUUGUGGUAGGACUUCAGGGUUAAAGGCAGGAACAUUCACUGACACAACCCUCCUUCCUGUCCCAGGAGAGAGUAUAUCUACCAAGCAAAGUACUUGUUCUUUAUUCUCAAGAUUGUGUUUCAGCUAAAUGGCAGUGGCUGGAGUGUAGUCAUCUACUGACUUAAAAGUGACCUAUCUCUCUUUUUAAUCAAUCGGAAAUGAACUUGGGGGAACAGAUAAAUAGCGUUAUUUUUCUUUCAGAUUAGAAAGUAUUGUUCUUGUUAGCCAAUGUUCUUUUCUAGCAAUCUAAUCUGCCUAUUUCUCAGUAAGCCAUCUCUUAUCUCUUGUUCACUUUAAGGUACUAUUAGGAUACAAUAGUCUCAUGCUGGACCCAAUUAUGUACUUAUACCUCACUUUCACUGAACUUCUUGAUCUUACCGAAGCACAAGCUUAACCCUUGUGUCUGAGUUAGUUAUAUGACAAGUGAAGAUUUUUGCAUAAAAUUAUAUAAAAAUUUAAACAUUUGAACAUUUAAAACAAUUUUCUGUGACUCCCAUACAUUUCUUCAUGUCCUACAUAUGAUACCAAAAUAUAAAUGAAGAUUAGAGUAUUAGUGAUUAAAAAAAAGAUUGUGGUAUGGGGGAAGAAAUGACGGUAGAGUGAAACAGACAUUAUUACCUCAUAUACAUG